rnacentral:rRNA from 1 species
UACGUAGGGGGCCAGCGUUGUCCGAAGUUACUGGGCGUAAAGAGCGCGUAGGCGGGUCUUUAAGUCAGGGGUGAAAUCCUGGAGCUCAACUCCAGAACUGCCUUUGAUACUGAGGAUCUUGAGUUCGGGAGAGGUGAGUGGAACUGCGAGUGUAGAGGUGAAAUUCGUAGAUAUUCGCAAGAACACCAGUGGCGAAGGCGGCUCACUGGCCCGAUACUGACGCUGAGGCACGAAAGCGUGGGGAGCAAACAGG